UUGGUCCUACGGGAGGCAGCAGUGAGGAAUAUUGGUCAAUGGGCGAGAGCCUGAACCAGCCAAGUCGCGUGAGGGAGUACUGCCCUAUGGGUUGUAAACCUCUUUUGUCGGGGAGCAAAAGCCGGACGGGUCCGGCUGUGAGAGUACCCGAAGAAAAAGCAUCGGCUAACUCCGUGCCAGCAGCCGCGGUAAUACGGAGGAUGCGGGCGUUAUCCGGAUUUAUUGGGGUUAAAGGGUGCGCAGGCGGAUUUUUAAGUCAGCGGUCAAAUCGUGGGGCUCAACCCCAUC
rnacentral:rRNA from 1 species